UAGCUAACACCCCAACCAAUUCUUAUGGACGCGAACGGUUGAGAAAUCCUGCUGUAGAACGUGGAUUUUGCAGCGUCACGGACCUGGGUUCAAAGCUCAGCUCUGCCACGAAAUAGCUGUGUGUGUGUGGUCUGGAACUAAUUCCUUAACCUUUGUGAGACGGUUUCCUCAUCUAUAAGAAGCGGGUUACUAUGCCGGCCUCUUGAGGAUUAAAUCAAACUGUGGGAAAAUCGAUACACAACACCCGGCAUCGGGGAACCUCUCCAGGGGGGCACACCCAGCCACGUGGUAAAGGGGGGGGGGUGCACAAAUUAAAUGCCUUCCCUGGGAGGGAAGAGCUGGGCGUACACCCAGCAUUACUCAUCCAUGGCAAACGCCGAACUGUUGUAACACAUUUCUGACCCGCGUUUCCUGUAGGAUGAGCUCCAUGAGCUUUCCAAGUGACCAGAUCCGGUUCCUGUCCUCAGGUGUGAGCCGUCCCAAGUUGGAGUCAGAUGGGGAAACUGAGGCAUGGAGAAGCCAUGUUAUGUGGUCCCACAACCAGGAAGUGGUGGAACAGGAUUCAAGUCGAGGCAGCCAGACACUAGAGAGAGCUCUGCUCUCGACCUCUGCCCUGCUUGUGAAUCCUGACCUUCCCCGCUACCUUGUAUAGUGAAGCUGGGCCGUCCUUUCCAUUACCAGGUGGAACUCUUGGCCAGAGGCAUACAGUCACAGGUGGUUGAGGAUCACCUCUCUAACCCCUGGCCCCGUCCCCUCUUCCCCAAGGCAGCCUUCCCACCCUCAACAGCUCUAGCUUCUGGAACCCCAGGUUUGUUCAUUCCCACACCCCAGAGUCAGUCCCAGCUCUUGAAAAGCCAAGGUAGUCUGGUCUUAAAGCGAGUGACCUGAUUGGGAGGGUGGCCCAAGCCUCCUGGAGUCCAGGGGGGAGGAGGUUUGCAACCCACAGCCACGGUUUACUACAUUUUUCUCAGCCACUCUGAGCAAUGCUUCUCACCUGUGGGCCAGACUUUGCUCCCCCGCUUGGCAAAGUGGAGACCCAAAGAGUAGUGUCAGACCAGGUACGGAUCUGGCCGACCCAGAUGGCCCCUUCCUCUGCAAGCCGGUAGGACUUAGGAGAGGCAGUGCACGCCCCCAGAGCUCCCAACAGGUGCUCCCCCAGCCCCUGCCACAGUGCUUCUAGGGACAGAGCACUGGCUACCGCAGAAGGCAGCUGACCCACUUUGAGUGACACCUUGACCCAAUGCUUUCAUUGUAAACUUUUCCAUGCUUCCUUCCCCAGCUCUGUGGAGACAAUACUCUGGGCUGAGGUCAUCUUCAAGGCUUGCAAAAUCCUUGAGAUGGAAGGUGCCUAAUACAUUGUUGAAAAUAACAGAUCUUAUCAAGGGUGAAGAAAGCAAGAAACGGAAAAGCGGCCAAUUCUAAUGCCAGGAUUGGGAUCCCGGGGGGAAGGAAGGGGCUGGAAUCCCUGCUGCUGGGGACCAGGGUGGGCAUGCGCAGCGUACCCAUGCCACCGUUUACCGAGCACUGGGUGCCAGCCCCAGAGUUCUCUUGAACCCUCACAAUCCUGUGAAAAAGGGUGAUGCCGCAGAGAAGGAAACUGAGGCACAGAGGGGUGUAACAUGCCCAAGGUGGCCCAGCUUGCAAGCAGCAGAGAUGGGAUUUGAAUCCAGGCCUGUGUAUUUUGGAGCCCUGGAUGUGUAAGACUCCGUCUCAGGAACCCAGGACCCAGCUGACCCCUCCUCCAGGGAAAACCUGGAUGGCAUAAAAAGGUUUUGUUGUGUUUGAAAUGUUAAAGAAGAAAAGAACAAAAAGAAAAGAAAGGAAAAGAAAAGAAAGAAAAGAAAAGAAAAAAAGAAAAGAAAAGGAAGAAAAGGAAAGAAAAGGAAAAAAGAAAGAAAAGAACUUGGUAAAUUUUAAAAGACAACUCUCCUUCCCUCAAGUAACUGAGAUCUCAUGAGAGGAAGCCAAGACCACAUCCUAACUGACUCCGACUCUGAGCUCCCCCAAGUAGGGUCUAAGUCAGGGUCAAGUUUGUAUCCGGGUGGUACUGGAAACAGAGCCUGGCACAUUGUCAGGAGCCCUCAGAUGAAUAAUGAAUGAGGGAAGGAGGCAGGGAGGGAGGAGGGAGAGGGGAAGGAGGAGGCAGAGGGGAGGGGGGAGGGGUCAGGAAAUAGGAACAGGGCAGAAGCUCCAAGCAGGGAGGAGUGCUGCCUGCAUCCAGGAGGAUAAAGCCACGCGCCUGCCACGCUCAGGCUGCACCCCCCCAUGGCCGCACAGCCACUGCCACAGCGCCCCCUGCCCCCUGCUUGUGUCGACGUCACUAGAAAAGGGAUGAGGGUGAAAAAAAGGGAAGCUUGGCCUCAGGAGAGCUUUUCAGGGAUUCGGGCUUGGGGAGGCCGCAAGAUCUUCUUCCUCAGGGAGAAGGCCAGGUCAGCUGAUGGCUCCCCAGGGUUAAGUGUUCCCCCCCAAAGAGGAAGGGGGAGGGGCAGAAAGAGGGCGUGGCAGAGGGGAAAAGGGAGCGAGAGCCAGGAAGAAGGAGGGAAGGAGGGAGAGGAGAAGGGGCUGACGGGCGGGGGAGGCGCCGGCAGGCAGCGUACCCUCUGCCCCGUCCUGUCCUGUCUCGGGCGGUGGCACACCCUCACCGGAGCUGAGCACCGACCUUCAGAAAGGCCGCCAGGCACAGCGGCCUCCGGCCUCCAUGUCCUAUGCUGCCCUUCCCAUUGGUGGAUGGUGGGAGGUCCAGAGGGUCCUGAGGAGGAGCUGGCUGGUGGCAGGGGGCGUGUGGUGGGGUGGGGGCGCAGUGACUGUUGGCUAACCCUCUGGUGCCUAUGGUGACCUUUGCUUGUAGGUGACCGGAGGGCGAGGGUGCUGCUCCCAGUCCUCAGGACCCCAGCUGUGCAUCCUCUGUGCUGGCCGCUGGCCGCCCACAUCUCCCCGGGAGGCCGGUGGUGCUGCUCAGGCGGGCGGGCCUGGGUUCAAGUCCUGACAAACCUGCUCACUUGCACACGCUCCAUUAGGGUCAUCUAAGGAGCUUUUGAAAAACUACUGAUGCCUGUCCCCACCGCCAGGUCUGAGCGAACUGAUCUGAGCUGGAGCCAGGCAUUGGCAUGUCCUACGUGCUCCCGGCGGCCUCACCAGCCUGCCCGGCCACUGUGCUCCAGCCUGCCUCCUCCUUGCUCAUUCUCAAGUACGCUCCCUUCAGGGCCUUUGCUGGAAUGCUCUGUCCUUGGGGGUCCACCUUCCCCGCCCCCCCUCAAGUCACGGCUGCCCCUGAUCUUGUCAGAGAGCCCCCACCCCCGGCUGUCACACCUGUCCUGACCCUGCUCAAUUUUGUCCUAUCACACUUCUGACCCCUGGAUGUACCAUGUGUGUAUCUGGGUGACAUCUUUCUAAGCUCUUUGACAGCAGGGACAUGGCGGUUCUUUCACUGCCCCAUCCUCAGGGCCCAACAUAGCGCCUGGCACUCAAUGAGCACUUGACAAGAAGGUGUAUGGAGACACCUUCUCCGCCAGCAGGCCUGAGCCCCUGGAAGGUGAGGGCACCUCAUGCACCUCGGCAUCCUGGGCCCAGCGACCGAUUCAUGGUGUGAGGAUUUGCUCCGGAGACAGAAGGGCUCAUGAGUGCUGGGAGGCCUCAAGAUGGAAGCAGGGGUCCAAAGGGAUGGAGGUGGAAAGAUGGGCCACAAGGGCGCUGCUUCAAGGAAGACAAGGAGGUCUGGCGACGGCGCUGACCCUCAGCGGGUCCAAGCAGCCGAGCAGGGCGAAGGGAGUGGCGGCCUGGGGGACUGGACCAGACUGGAGGGGCAGGGCGACUGGGAGCCCACAGGAAGGGAAGGGUGGGGCUGCGGAGAGCCAGCCCCUGGUCCCACCCCACCCCUGCAGCCAUCCACAACUAGGACCUUUUGUCAGGCAGCUGCAAACUACAAACGCCCGGCAGAGCGGGCAUGGUGAAAUGAGAGGUCAGUCGAGACCCCGGGAUCCCUGACCUACUCCAGGAGCAGAUGGCGCAGCGGUACCAGGGGGGAUAUGACUCGCUAAGGGGUGCUUUUGCCCAGGGCUCCAGUGAAACGGGCAAGCUCCUGAGCCCUAAGGUAUAAGGACAUGAUGGCGGGGGUGUCCAGGAAACACGUGCCUGUGUUGUUUAGCCUGGUCGCUAGAGAGCCAGGUGAUGGCGCCUGACGCCCUCCGCCCCUACAGCUCAUAACCAGACUCACCGGGCCCUCCAGCUGCCUUCUCCGGAAGCACUUCUGCACUGAAAGGUUUGGAGCGCUAACUACAUACGAAGCCUCGUGCGAACCUGUCGCUGGGGACCCCAGGCUUUCUUGGGCAGCUCAGAGUGCCUUGAUGCCUCCCCCCCACCACCAUAGACCUCCAACAUACCCCCCCACCCAUGUGAGCCUCCACAACAGACAGAACAGCUGUCCCCCCCAGGAACUCUUAAAGGGGCAGGCCCCUCUGUGAACUGGUGGCCAUCGCUGCCUGCCCACAACGGUGGUCUCGCGAGGUGCUCCAGCAAAGCAGCGGCAGCCUGGAGUCCUGCCUUGUGUUGGCUCCCCUGGCUCCGAGGGCCCCGCACUGUCCACACCUCCUUCUCUCUGCUCCUUUCCCUCCUUGAAGACCAAUGGCUGGUAUGGCC